rnacentral:rRNA from 1 species
AGGGUUUGAUUAUGGCUCAGGACGAACGCUGGCGGCGUGCCUAACACAUGCAAGUCGAACGGGGUUGUAAGAGCUUGCUUUUGCAACCUAGUGGCGGACGGGUGAGUAACGCGUGAGUAACCUGCCUUACAGAGGGGGAUAACGUCUGGAAACGGACGCUAAUACCGCAUGACAUAUAGUUACCGCAUGGUAAAGAUAUCAAAGGAGCAAUCCGCUGUAAGAUGGACUCGCGUCCGAUUAGCUAGUUGGAGGGGUAACGGCCCACCAAGGCGACGAUCGGUAGCCGGACUGAGAGGUCGAACGGCCACAUUGGGACUGAGACACGGCCCAG